GAAAGGAGAAGACUCUGAAUUACUGUCGAGAGGAGAGGAAAAGUCUGCGGGAAAUGGCUGAGCGUUUAGCUGACAAAUAUGAGGAAGCCAAGGAAAAACAAGAGGAUAUCAUGAACAGGAUGAAAAAAGUACUUCACAGUUUUCACUCUCAGCUCCCAGUUCUCUCUGAUAGUGAGCGAGACAUGAAGAAAGAACUACAGCUAAUACCUGAUCAACUUCAGCAUUUGGGCAACGCCAUAAAACAGGUCACUAUGAAAAAAGACUAUCAACAGCGAAAGAUGGAGAAGGUGUUGAGUCUUCAAAAACCCACCAUUACUCUCAGUGCCUACCAGCGAAAGUGCAUUCAGUCCAUCCUGAAGGAAGAGGGUGAACACAUAAAGGAAAUGGUGAAGCAAAUCAAUGAUAUCCACAAUCAUGUUAACUUCUGACACCACCAGGAGCCGAAUCACACUUGAAGUGAACACCACUGAAGGCUUAAACUCAUAUUGUAAAACAGGUAGCAUUAUCUCAUUUAUAAAAAGGCAUUUUGGAUGACCUUUGGUGUGGUUUUUCAUCUUUUUAAAUAUUUUGUUUUAUAUUUAUUCAAUAAAUGCUUUUAUUUAAAAAAAAA